GGGCUUAUUCGAUAUAAGUUAAAAAAUUCUACAACUAAGUAAUGAAUGGGUAGCAUGAGACCGACCUUCAGUGAUUCCUCGUAAAGGCCUAUCCGAUCUUGAUGAGGCAGAGCUAUCCGCUCUCCGAGAAUGGCGACUUCUAGUCUAAACUGGGUCAGGAUCUGGUACUUUAGUCUAAUGAUCUCCAAGUCCUUUGGGGUGAGGAUGGAGUUCACCCUAAACGGACCAAAGUC
rnacentral:lncRNA from 1 species